rnacentral:piRNA from 1 species
UGUGGCUAUUGAAAGAUUGAAAUGUGGU